GGCCGCCUCCUCGGCCUGAAGACUCCCCGCCUCCUCCCGCCCCCUCCCCUUUUCCCAAAGAUCAGCGUUUUCUGGGAGAAACGCUCCGGAGUUGUUGAUGAAUGAGAAGAGGACUGGAAAGAUGGUGAAACAAACCAUCAACAAGUCUUUUUCUCUUGAGCCACAAAUGUUUGAAGUCAAUGACUUUCGAAAAAUGAGUGAAAUCCACGCAGGAAAAUCCAGCGCUCUUGUUCUAAGGGAAGCAAGCUGCUCCAUGGAAAGACCCACAGGGCAAGAGCUGAUGUAUCUGGCCAAAGGACAGCAAAGACUUGAGGCCUGUCAGCAGCUAAGUGAAAAAGUCACCCGAUCAAACCUUGAGAUGACUACAGCCCCAGGUGGCACCUUGAUUGCAGCUUUGGAAGAGACCCUGAGCUAGAGGAUACUCAACAGCAAGGCCCCCUGGAUUCAAAACCCACUGAAACCAUAAGAUAAUCUGUUUUUGUUGUUUUAAGCCAUUAAGUUUUGGAGUGACUUGUGACACAGCAAGAGGUAGUGAAUAUACUGUGUGAUGUAGUCAAGGACAUAGCUCCAGAAAAAUCUCUCCCCUUUCUCUUGCAACAUCAAACCAAAUAGCCUGUAGUCCCAAUUAUUUGGGAGGCUGAGAAAGGAGGAUCACUUGAGCCCAGGAGUUCUGGGCUGUAGUGCACUAUGCCCAUUGGAUGCCUGCAAUAAGUUCAGCAUCAAUAUGUUGACCUCCUGGUAGAUAGGGACCACCAGGUUGCCUAAGGAGGGGUGAACUGGCACAGGUUGGAAAUGGAGCAAGUCAAAACUCCUGCACUGAUGAGUAGUACGAUUGCACCUGUAAAUAGCCAAAGCAAUGUAGCCUGGACAACAUAGCAAGACCCCAUCUCUUUAAAAAAAGAAAGAAAAGAGAAAGAAAGAAACCAAACUUUUUCUUCCCUACUGAAUCAUUUUUGCAGCAUAAAAUAUUUGUUAUUUCCUCUUUUUUAAAAAACCUCUUGGUCAAGAGUGGUGGCUCAUGCUUGUAAUCCCAGCACCUUGGGAGGCCAAGGUGGGAGGAUUGCUGCAGCCCGGGAGUUCAAGACCAGUCUAGGCAGCAUAGAAAGACUUCAUCUCUACAAAAAAUAGAAAAUUAGUUGGGUGUUGGUGGUGUAUGCCGGUAGUCCUAGCUACAUGGGAGGCUGAGGCAGUGAGGCAGGAGGAUGGUUUGGGUCCAGAAGGUUGAGGCUGCAGUGAGCCAAGAUCCCUGCCACUGCACUCCAAGGGGAUAACAGAGUGAGACGCUAUCCCAAAACAAACAAACAAAAACCAAACCAGAACAAAAAACUCCCAGGACCUCAUUUUUUCUCUUCUCUGUUCCCUUUUACAAUGAAUUCCUUAAAAAGAAAA
rnacentral:lncRNA from 1 species